AUACGUAGGUGGCAAGCGUUGCCCGGAAUUAUUGGGCGUAAAGCGCAUGUAGGCGGUUUGGUAAGUCGGUCGUGAAAAUGCGGUGCUUAACGCCGUAUGGCGAUUGAAACUGCUGAACUUGAGUGCAGGAGAGGAAAGGGGAACUCCCAGUGUAGCGGUGAAAUGCGUAGAUAUUGGGAAGAACACCGGUGGCGAAGGCGCCUUUCUGGACUGUGUCUGACGCUCAGAUGCGAAAGCCAGGGUAGCGAACGGGAUUAGAUACCCCGGUAGUCCUGGCCGUAAACGAUGGGUACUAGGUGUGGGAGGUAUCGACUCCUUCCGUGCCGGAGUUAACGCAAUAAGUACCCCGCCUGGGGAGUACGGCCGCAAGGCUUAAACUCAAAUGAAUUGACGGGG
rnacentral:rRNA from 1 species